rnacentral:rRNA from 1 species
AUGAAGGCCGAGGAAACGUUCAAGCGUCUCCGCGUGGCGAUCAAGUGCAGGAACGUUGAGGGCGAGUACGAGAGCAAGGCGGUGGGCGGCCUCGACCGCACCGGCGCCUUCAGCGUGCCCCUGGCCACCGACCUCCACGGCGCCGACUGCGUCGCGCAGCUUCACAGCGCCGCCUCCAACGCGCCGUGCCCCGGCCAGGAGCCGUCCAAGAUCGUGCCACUGUCCGAGGGCGCCACCACCUUCGGCGUCGUCGCCGGCGCGGUGACCCUGUGCGGGCCGAUCAAGAAGCACAUCAUCGAGCACUUCCACCACAAGAAGCCCGUGCAACCGAAGCCAGAGCCCUAA